AGAAGAUACCCUCUACUAGUCACUUGACGGGCAGGAGGUGCAACGCGGAAGGAAACAUCACGGAUUGGGGGUACUGGAAACUUUUAAAAGGUCUGGAAAAUCCCUCCGAUUUAGUGGAUGCUUUUCCGCGGCAGUUUAAAAACUGAAAGGCAACAUAGAAGCUUCUACUUUAAAAAGGUAGCCCUGGUGAUCCAAUCCCGAUCUUUUGGCUGGCAAAGAGGCAAUUGCCUGAAAACGAAAUUGGCAUUCAAAAAGGGUCAGGUACAGCCCAGAGUCCCUGUACUCAUUUUAGACUCAAGAAAAGGCGCUUCCCAUCCCUAGCUCUUUUAGAAAGAGAAAGGAAAAGGAGGAGAAAGCAGAAAGGGGGGAGAGCCGAGAGCGCAAGAAAGAAAGAGAAGAGGGGGAUAUUUAGCAAGUUAAAAGGUUAAAUGUUUGAACAGAUUUGUAAAUAUAUAGACAACCCUUGUUAUUUGGGAUGUGUAAUAAUGCCUUUUUGUGGCGCUGUCUGGCUGGGAGGCUGCCGAGGACCGCUCCCUGGCACCUUCUUCACUAGGAAAUGAACAGUAAGUUCAUGGACUCAAAAAACAAAAACAGGGCUACCCUCCUUUGGAGGAAAGGGAAUUCUCCCUCUAUUCGGUCAUUGAAAAAUAAAAAGAAAAGAAGAAAAAAGAAAGUAAAAGGAAAGCAGGAUCAAUGAGAUUUUAUUUUUCUUAGGUAUGAUUUUUCAGGGAGCAACCCAGAAAGCUGUCUUCAGGCUGAAACAAUUUCAAAGUAUUGUUUAAGCGGAUGACAUUCUCCAGCACUCAGUUAUCCAUUGUGCAUCUAUUAUAUCUUUGAACUCAACUCUCUUGUCUAACAAGGUUGUGUGUGUGUGCCUGUUGUGUAUGCGUGUGUGUUUAGAAAACCUAGGUUCCCCAGUGGUGCUUCCUUGGCUGAAUAGGGUGGGUUUCUUUCGUUUUUCUCGCAUUGGUGUUUUCUGGACAACUGUACUGAGCGCUGUUGAUGGCAUCGGUGCUCUGCCCGUGCCCGUGGGCGGAGGACAUAGGCUGUGGGUGUGUCCC
rnacentral:lncRNA from 1 species